GAGGCAUCCUAAUUCCCAAAUACAGAAUGCUGCUGUUAGAGCUCUCCAACACUUUGUGCAAGCAUACGUUGUCAAUGCAAAAAGUGGAACUGCAAGUGGUGUAACAGCAAAGUACUUGGAACAACUGACUGAUCAAAAUGUUGCUGUAAGAAGAGGAUCUGCAUUAGCACUAGGUGUUUUACCAUAUGAAUGUUUGGCUGAUCGAGGGAAACAAGUGCUUUUGAAGCUUUGUAGCUCUUGUGCAAUUGAGGACAACCCUGAGGACAGAGAUGCUGAGG
rnacentral:misc_RNA from 1 species